GCGGAGCUGCGGGGUGCGUGAGGACAUGUACUCCCGGGGCCUUAUCGAUUCCUGAGGGAGCUGUCCCUGACCUCGCUCGUGGGCUUGGUCACAUGGCGCCCACCUACGCUGUAGGUUCCCGGGGUCGAAAUCCCACGGCCACUGUGGCCCCGCA
rnacentral:other from 1 species